ensembl:lncRNA
AUGGAAGAUGGAAAGACUGAGAGUGAAAAGAUGGAACAGAUGAAAGAUGAAAUUCAGAGAGCGGUUGCAGAGAUAGACCUGGCAAGGGAGGAGAUACAAAGGGAAAAAAGGAAGAUUAAAGAGGACAAUGCAAGGAAAGCGAAGGAUAUGAUGGAGUCUAUGAAAGCUGAGCUUGACAGACAGACGGAGGGAAAAAACGGAAGGAAAAAAGAAAUGCCAAUGAUGAAGACCACGGUCCAGAGGCCACAGGAUGAAACAGAGAAAACCUACCUUGGAGAUACGACAACUGAGAUACCAUUUGAGUCACAAGAGCUAAGAACCGCCAUUGAAAAAGAAAGAAGAGACUUGGAACGCAGAGAGAAAAUGAUUAUGAGAGAGAAGUAUGACCUGGAAAAGUCAAAAGCCGAGUUUGAGAAGGAAAAGGCGGAGAUGGAGAACAUGAUCACAAAACAACGAGAGGAGGGCAGACAAAUUAUUGAGGACAUAGAAAAGAAAAAAGAAAAUCUCGAACAAAUGGAUGCAGAGAUGCAAAGGAAAAGACAGGUCAUCGUAAGGGAAAUGCAAUAUAAAACACAAAAGAUGCAGGACUUUAAAAAAGCAAAAGAUAAAUUUAAACAAACGCUUGUUAAAUUUAGCAAAGAGAAAAUUGAAAUGGGAAACAUUAAAAAGGCUACCGUGGCGGAAAGAAAUAAACUAGCAGUAGAGCAAGCUUACAUAGAGAAACGUAAGGAGGAGAUGGAAGCCAUCCUGGAACUGACAAAGAAGGAGAAUGAAGAUCUGCUGAACUUAAAAGCUCAAAUAGAGGGAUGGAAAGAAGACAAAGAUGAACGGGGUGAACGCCUGAACAGGGAAAGAAAGGAACUUGAAGAUCUGACAAGUAAGAUGCAAAAAGAAAAAGAGGAUACGAUAAGAAACAGGAACAUUUCGGAAAAAGAGAAAAAGGACUUGGAGCUGAUGAGAUCUGAAACGCAGAAAGAAAAGGGGAAGAUGGAACAAGAGAAGAUUAAGGUACAAGUUGAGAGAGAAAAGCUUGAAAAAAUGAAACUGGAGUUACAGAAAAAGUCCAACGACCUAGAUAUGAUCAUAGAAGACACAAAGAGGGAGAAAGUCAGUGCAUCACAAAUUCCUGUCCAAAUACAACAACAAAAGAACCAAAUUGAUUGUUUUGUGGAAGAGACAAAGAGGAGUAAAAUCGAAGAAGAAUUGAUGAGCGCUGAAAUAAAAAGACAGAAAGAGGACAUAGACAGCAAACAAGACAUUCUAUCAAAGGAGAGAGAAGAUCUGAAUAAACUCAGAACAGAGGUAAACAAUCAGAGAGAAGAGAUAGAAAAUAUCACGCAAGAGCAAAUUAAAGAAACAUUUCUAAUUAAUCAGACAAAGACAGAGAUGGAAAAAGAGAGAUGUGAGAUGGACAGAAAAAAGAAAAUGAUAGAGCAGAAUAUGGAUGAGCUAGAGCAGAGAAAGUGUGAGAUGAGAAAAGUAGAAAACAUAAUUAUCGAACUGAGAAAAGAAGAAGACAGUAUAACGAAUGAGAUGAACAGGAUGAGAAAGAUCACAGAGCAGAACAGUUUUGAAAUGCAGAGACGGUCUGAAGACAUGAAUCAGCUAAUGGAUGAGACAAGACGGGAGAGGGGGAAGGUUGAAGAACUGGCUAUCCAAACUCAAAAAGAAAGAGAAGAAAUGGUGGGUUUUAUGGAAAAGAACAAACAAAAGCAGAACGAACUGGAACUGAAGACAAGAUUGAAGAGAGAGAAACAAGACAUUGAAGAAAGUCGGGAUGUGCUAACAAAGGAGAGAGGGAGCUGGAACAAUGAGGAGUGA